UAAUAUGGCCAUACUACCCUGAACACGCCUGAUCUCGUCCGUACUCAGAAGCUAAGCAGGGUCAGGCCUGGUUAGUACUUGGAUGGGCGACCGCCUGGGAAUACCGGGUGCUGUAGGCU